AUGGGGUGCAGCANGNGCGAAAACUUGGCAAUGCGAGAAAUCGUGACCAGGGAACUCCAAGUGGCUGGGGUAAGACCCAGUCUUUUCUUNNNNNUUCAAAGGUCUUGGAAUAAGAGGUGGGUAAGGACGGUGCCAGCCGCCGCGGUAAUACCGGCGCCUCAAGUGGUAGUCGAUUUUAUUGGGCCUAAAACGUCCGUAGCCUGUUUGGUACAUUCGUGGGUAAAUCAACCAGCUCAACCGGUUGAAUUCUGCGAGCACGGCCAGACUUGGGACCGGGAGAGGUGUGGGGUACGCUCAGGGUAGGGGUAAAAUCCUGUCAUCCUGAGCGGACCACCUGUUGCGAAGGCGCCACACUAGAACGGAUCCGACGGUCAGGGACGAAGCCUAGGGGCACGAACCGGAUUAGAUACCCGGGUAGUCCUAGGUGUAAACGCUGUGGACUUGGUGUUGGGGAUUCUCAGAGGAUUCUCAGUGCCGAAGCGAAGGUGAUAAGUCCACUGCCUGGGGAGUACGGUCGCAAGGCUGAAACUUAAAGGAAUUGGCGGGGGAGCAC
rnacentral:rRNA from 1 species